rnacentral:rRNA from 1 species
GACGAACGCAGGCGGCGUGCCUAAUACAUGCAAGUCGAACGAAGCUGUUUUAACUGGUGCUUGCACCGACUUAAACAACUGAGUGGCGAGCGGGUGAGUAACACGUGGGUGACCUGCCCCAAAGCGGGGGAUAACAUUUGGAAACAGAUGCUAAUACCGCAUAACCACAGAAACCACAUGGUUUCUGUGUCAAAGAUGGUUUCGGCUAUCACUUUGGGAUGGACCCGCGGCGUAUUAGCUAGUUGGUAAGGUAAUGGCUUACCAAGGCAAUGAUACGUAGCCGAACUGAGAGGUUGAUCGGCCACAUUGGGACUGAGACACGGCCCAAACUCCUACGGGAGGCAGCAGCUAAGAAUCUUCCGCAAUGGGCGAAAGCCUGACGGAGCGAUGCCGCGUGAUCGAUGAAGGUCGAGAGAUUGUAAAGAUCUUUUCUCCAUGAGGAAUAAGUCUCGGAGGGAAUGCCGGGAUGAUGACGUUAGUGGAGGAAUAAGCCCCGGCUAAUUACGUGCCAGCAGCCGCCGUAA